UACGUAGGGUGCGAGCGUUGUCCGGAAUUAUUGGGCGUAAAGGGCUCGUAGGCGGUCCGUCGCGUCGGGAGUGAAAACUCGGAGCUUAACUCCGAGCCUGCUUCCGAUACGGGCAGACUAGAGGUAGGCAGGGGAGAGCGGAAUUCCUGGUGUAGCGGUGAAAUGCGCAGAUAUCAGGAGGAACACCCGGUGGUGUAGACGGCUUUCUGGGACCGUAACUGACGCUGAGACACGAAAGCGUGGGUAGCAAACAGG
rnacentral:rRNA from 1 species